AACGCACAUUGCGCCCCUUGGUAUUCCAUGGGGCAUGCCUGUUCGAGCGUCAUUUGUACCUUCAAGCUCUGCUUGGUGUUGGGUGUUUGUCCCGCCUUUGUGCGCGGACUCGCCUUAAAGCAAUUGGCAGCCGGCGUAUAGAUUUCGGAGCGCAGCACAAUCCGCGCUUUGUACUCAUUACGACGACAUCCAUCAAGACAUUUUUUAACUCUUGACCUCGGAUCAGGUAGGGAUACCCGCUGAACUUAA
rnacentral:misc_RNA from 1 species